AGGCAUUUUCAAUCUUUUGGAGAAAUAACAGAUCUUUAUAUGCCCAAGGAACUGGGUUCAAAAGAACAUCGUGGACUUGUGUUUGUUACUUUCCGGAGUGCAGAAUGCGUGGACAAUGUCAUGCAAGAAAAUCAUGAGUUUGAUGGCACAACCGUUGUUGUUGAUCGUGCAACUCUGAAGG